rnacentral:rRNA from 1 species
GACGAACCGUGCGAACGUUGUUCGGAAUCACGUGGCUUAAAGGGCGCGUAGGCGGCCCGCCGCGUCCGGGGUGAAAUCCCUCCCGCUCAACGGGAGAACGGCCUCGGAUACGGGCGGGCUGGAGGGGGUAGGGGCACGCGGAACGUGUGGGUGGAGCGGUGAAAUGCGUUGAGAUCCACAGGAACUCCGGUGGCGAAGGCGGCGUGCUGGACCCCAUCUGACGCUGAGGCGCGAAAGCCAGGGAGCGAACGGG